rnacentral:rRNA from 1 species
CACCUUCGGGUGUGUAUAAAGUGGCGAACGGCUGAGUAACACGUGGGCAACCUGCCCCUCUCAUUGGGAUAGCCACGGGAAACCGUGGAUAAUACCGAAUACUUCGGGACUUCCGCAUGGAAGACUCGAGAAAGCUCCGGCGGAGAGGGAUGGGCCCGCGGCCUGUUAGCUUGUUGGUGGGGUAACGGCCUACCAAGGCAAUGAUGGGUAGCUGGGUUGAGAGACCGACCAGCCAGAUUGGGACUGAGACACGGCCCAGACUCCUACGGGAGGCAGCAGUGGGGAAUCUUGCACAAUGGGCGAAAGCCUGAUGCAGCGACGCCGCGUGCGGGAUGAAGGCCUUCGGGUUGUAAACCGCUUUCAGCAGGGACGAGGCGAAAGUGACGGUACCUGCAGAAGAAGCCCCGGCUAACUACGUGCCAGCAGCCGCGGUAAUACGUAGGGGGCAAGCGUUAUCCGGAUUCAUUGGGCGUAAAGCGCUCGUAGGCGGUCUGUUAGGUCGGGAGUUAAAUCCGGGGGCUCAACCCCCGUUCGCUCCCGAUACCGGCAGACUUGAGUUUGGUAGGGGAAGGUGGAAUUCCUAGUGUAGCGGUGGAAUGCGCAGAUAUUAGGAAGAACACCAGUGGCGAAGGCGGCCUUCUGGGCCAUAACUGACGCUGAGGAGCGAAAGCUAGGGGAGCAA